CAGUAUUUCUGAAAUUCUAUUUUC
rnacentral:miRNA from 1 species